GUUUUAGUUUGCAACAUAUGCCAACAUAUGGAUUCAAAGAGAUCUGUUGCUGCCCAGUCAAGGGAUGUAAAAGGCAAGAAGGCGACUCUAGCGUGACAAUCAAGUAAUACAGUGAAUUUGUUGAUAAGGUGGUAGCUGCUCUUUGGUAUUCUUUUUCUCCUGAAGAUGCCAUUUUUGUUCAUUUCUACCUUACUGUAGUAAAUUUGUACAGUAGUCAGACUGAUGCUCAAUCCAUUACAUGUAAUAAUGUGAAUUCUCAAGCAAUCUGGGAAUAAAAUAUAUAAAAGAAUGAGUCUAGCUUAUUUUUUCCACACCUUAAGUUUGUUUCCAGUCAUGAAAUACAAGCCUUAUUAGGCGGUGAUGGCUGGAGUAAACCCUUGUGGAGAAAAUUAUGAUUGAAGAAGUUUUGUAUAUUGAUGACAAAAUCAUUUAUUGGUAAUUCAUUACAGAAUGUGCAUAGUGUACUGGUCCUGUCCUUGCACACAGUAGUUAAUAUGCUUUGAUUAUUCGUUGGCUGUUUUGUUAUUUGGUAAGUUGGUUUACGCAGCAGCUUAUGAUUAGAAACAUUUGAUGGAGAGCUCUUGCUGAAGACUCCUGCAGAAAGCUUCAGCUGUGGUUCUAAUUUCGGUUCCUCUUUCCACGGACAUGAUAAAAGCUGCAAGAUUACAAAUGCACGAUUUCUUCCAAAUUGGACAACCUUAUGUGGAACCAUCACAACCAUCUUCCAAAUUGUAAUAGCCGAAUUCUUGGGCACAUAUGCCAACACAUCUCCACUUAGUUUGAAACUGUGGUUCGUUAGCGUUUUCCUUGGAGUCCUUGGCAUGCCAAUUGGAGCAGCUAUAAAGAUGAUCCCUGUGGGAUCUGCCUAAAAUAAAUUCAGACUAUUAGGUUGGUUCCCUUGUCUGGAACAAUGUCAAUUUUGAAUGCUGCAGAAGCAAGUGCAGAUGGCAGGGAAUGUUUGUGAAUACAUGUUGUUGAAGAUCAGAAGGGCAGUGUCCUUUAUACAUAAGUAGAAAAGUACUUCAAUUCAAUCUUAAAGAAGCAAAGUCUAUACAAGCAAACCAUCUUCUGGUGUACUUUUAGAUGGAAAGGGCGCUAUGCUAGUUGCUGCUGUUGUACGAUCCCUUGUGUUUUAAAGAAUAGUACUUAGGUGAUUAACUAAUUGCAAUUCAUUUAGUUCCACACAGUCUACACUUUUCCACCAAGCAGCUUCAGGUCCAUUUUUGUUUCAGUACCCUCUCAUUAUGAUGUUUUGAAUUGUGAUGUUUUGAAUUGUAAUGACUUGGUAUUUUGCUUGAAUGUUGAAUUAACAUUUUGGAUGAAUGACUUGGUAUUUUGCUGGAAUUGUAAUGACUUGGUUUUUUGCUUGAAUUGUAAUGACUUGGUAUUUUGCUUUAAUGACAUUUGAUCAUAUUAU